rnacentral:rRNA from 1 species
UCUUCGGCAAUGGACGAAAGUCUGACCGAGCAACGCCGCGUGAGUGAAGAAGGUUUUCGGAUCGUAAAACUCUGUUGUUAGAGAAGAAUGUUGAUUAGAGUGGAAAAUUAAUCAAGUGACGGUAUCUAACCAGAAAGGGACGGCUAACUACGUGCCAGCAGCCGCGGUAAUACGUAGGUCCCGAGCGUUGUCCGGAUUUAUUGGGCGUAAAGCGAGCGCAGGUGGUUUAAGAAGUCUGAUGUAAAAGGCAGGGGCACAACCAUUGUGUGCAUUAGGAACUGUUAGACUUGAGUGCAGUAGAGGAGAGUAGAAUUCCAUGUGAAGCGGUGAAAUGCGUAGAUAUAUGGAGGAACACCGGUGGCGAAAGCGGCUCUCUGGACUGUCACUGACACUGAGGCUCGAAAGCGUGGGUAGCAAACAGG